rnacentral:tRNA from 1 species
GCAGUGUUCCCAUAAUGGUAUUGGAGCCGGUUGCUAUCCGGUAGGGCGUUUGUUCGCCUUGUAGGUUCGAGUCCUACACACUGCG